GUUGUAUGCCGAAUUGCAGGGGCAAUUACGAUAAUGGACCUAAAGUCAGUGUAUUUUAUUUUCCAUCUGACGAGAAUUUAAGACGAAAAUGGUUAUCGGCUGUUCACAGAGAAGACUGGACACCGAGUAAGCACUCUGUUAUAUGUGAACUGCAUUUCAACAAGGACGAUAUUUUAAGCAGUACCAGCAUGCAUGACCCGAAAACUGGUAUACUCUUGACAGCACCGUUGGAUCGUCGACGCUUGAGAAAAGAUGCUAUCCCAUCGAAGUUGCCUGGAUGCCCAUCUUACCUGUCGAGUCAUCAAACUGCAGUACGAGAGGACCCAGAAAUUCGUAGGGGGCGUUUAGAAAAUCAUGCUCUUCAAAUUGCUAUCCAAGAAAGUGUGGACACACAUGCGAAAAUGAUUGAUGCGAUAUCUUUCGAUAGUUUAGAACAAAUGAAAACAAAGUUGAGUGAAUGUGAAAAGCACAGUGACUGGGUAGUGAUAAACAAAUCUGACAGUGUGAGCCUAGUGUUACUAAAGCAUAAUC